rnacentral:sRNA from 1 species
GCGGCGGCGCAGUAUUCUAGUCAGAUCUGCCGUUUCCUAGGGAGGGCCUAAAAAUCCUCUGAAGGGCACAUCGAUGAAACCUCUGGUGCCUGCUUGAUACGCCCAGUUUUGGGUGGGUGCUGGGGGGAAGCGCGCCAUGCGUGCUUGCGGACUCAGGGCGAUUUCCAAUGGCAUGGUCAACCCGACCCUGUUUCCGUGGAGACCUGUUCUUGUGCACAGACGUACUCCCAUCGCGGUAAUUUCGGCCUGUGUACGAAACAGAUUGUGAACCUGCAAUGCGGUGCAUCGGUCCCCAAGGGCCGUAACGCUGUGUGCAGACGUAGCCUGCCUUGCGUGGGUAUGGUGGAUGAGAGGCCAGACCGUUCUGACUCCGGCCGGAGCAACGGACGGUCCUUUGCUCUUUGAAACCCUGCCUGCAAAAGAGGCUAAAGAAGCGGACGGACUGUGGUGGAAAUCACCUAGGCUGUUCCCGUGAGGCAGAAAAGGGAUUGCAGUGCGGACUAAGUGGCAAUCGGGUAGCGCGGACGGGCGACGCCGCGCCCUGGCACCAAAGGGGGAACCGCCUCUAUCGGCAACGAGAGGUGUGCCUUGGGGAAAUCCAACCCGUACCUAAGCCGUAAGAUUUACCUUUUUUGCCGCCGC